CACGUAGGCACCAAGCGUUGUCCGGAUUUAUUGGGCGUAAAGAGCUCGUAGGCGGUUCAGUAAGUCGGGUGUGAAAACUUUGGGCUUAACCCAAAGCGUGCAUCCGAUACUGCUGUGACUUGAGUACGGUAGGGGAGCGGGGAAUUCCUAGUGUAGCGGUGAAAUGCGCAGAUAUCCGGAGGAACACCAGUGGCGAAGGCGACUUUCUGGCCUGUUCUUGACGCUGAGGCGCGAAAGCUAGGGGAGCAAACGGG
rnacentral:rRNA from 1 species